AUGGCGCCUCUAGGGGUGAACGAGCAGGGGAGGGCCAAGAGGCCAGCGGUGUGGGGUGGAGCAGCGAGGCCGGUGACCCAGGCGGCGGACGCCUCACGGGGUGGAGGAGAGGCUGGCGACAGAGAAGGAGCAGAAUCCUCAUGGAGCAGCAGGGAAGGUGAAGUCCCGACGGCUGAAGAUGGUACGCACGGGAGGAGCUCGGAUGAUGUCAAGGUGAGCUUCUCUCAAUCCUUCUCCCCCUUCACGCCUCUUGCAAUUUUUUUUCUUGUUUUAGAUCAUUUGAAGGUGAGUGUAGUCUUGUGA
rnacentral:rRNA from 1 species